AGAAUCAACGCUGGCGGCGUGCCUAAUACAUGCAAGUCGAACGCGAAGACCCCGCAAGGGGUUGGUAGCGUGGCAAACGGGUGAGUAACGCGUGGGCGACCUGCCCUCGAGUGGGGGAUAACCUUCCGAAAGGAGGGCUAAUACCGCAUGAUAUGCCGCGUUUGGAUACGCGGACAUCAAAGCUGGGGAUCGCAAGACCUGGCGCUUGGGGAGGGCCUACGUUCGAUUAGCUAGUUGGUGGGGUAACGGCUCACCAAGGCUACGAUCGA
rnacentral:rRNA from 1 species